GGUGGCGACGGAAGCCAGCCGAGAUUAAACGUAAAGCCAAAAGCACAUCAUAUGGCCUCUGCCUCAAUUCUGCCUUUUAUCUGCUGCCUCUAUCUCUCCUCUCUUUCUCUCUCUUUCUCUCUCGCCUCCAUUUCUCUCUCUCUCUGUUUCUCUCUCUCUUACUUUACCACUCUCUCUCCUGUUCUCUUUCUCUCUCUCUCUCUUACUCACUCACUCACCCACUUGUGCCCUCCCUCUCUCCAUUCUGUCUUUGGGUCCCUCCUUCUUCCCCUCUCUGUUUCAAUCUCUCCAGUAGGGCAAGAGAGAGAGAGAGUGAAAGAGAGAGAGAAUAAUGAGUGGAAUAAUGUCAGACAACAGGGGAAAUUCCGAACUUUUUUUUUUCUUCCCUGGAAAACUCGGAAGAGAGAGAAAGGAUCACCGGCGAGGGCGGCUACAUGCAGUGGACUGCGGCACCCGGGCAGUCGCUGCUCCUGGCAGCAGAUGAAGUUCGGUCAUUAUCUUCACCCUGGCACCAAAAUGAAAGCCUUGGCUGGUGAUGUUGUGCAGAGAGCAGCUGCUUAAAAUGGCGUCUCGGUGCUUCUGGUGUAGAGGAGGACCAGAGGGAGGACAUUAGGAAGUGAUGGACUGGACCUGCUUAAUGGACACUCCCUCUCUUAUUCUCUCUCUCUCUCUCGCUCUCUCUCUCUCUCUCUCUUCCUCUCCUUCUCCUUCCUCCCCGCCGCAGGCCUCAUACACACUCACAAAUCUCUUUUUAUUAGUGCCAUCAUUACUGUAAUGCUGUUGCUAAUAUUACCCUUGGUAAUGCUAACAACACUAUCGUAAAUGGAGUUAGCGUUCAUGAUUAGAAGUAUUCCGUUAAGGCUCCUGGGGCCACGCUCUUUUUCCCUGAGCUGGACCACGCUUCUCCACCACAGAGCCGAAGUGAAGGUCCUUACUGUGUUAUAGACGCGUUUCUCCAAAUCUAAAGUAGAAAUCUUUGCUGUUUUCUGUUUUAACCUGAGCCGCUCUCUUUCUAUGCUCUGUUAAUUCUCUCUCUCUCUCUCUUUCUUUCUACCUCGCCAAGUUUUUCUUACAGAAUGUCCCAGGAGGCUGCCAGAGCCUCCGCCGGCCAGUUCCAGCCAGCUUGAGAUUGGGGAACUGGCCAAAAGCCACCUGUUCAACAACAAAAAGGAGGCUAGAUAAGUUUUAGUGUAUGGUCCCUCUAGAGUCUGACCACAUUUUAUCUCAGCACAAUAGUUUAGACUCUGAAAAGUCUAUAAACCAUUAAGGGCAUAUUUCAUAUGUUUCUAUUGUGUUUUAUUUAUUUAUAUGUUUUCUUUGGCUCAUAAAUUCAACAAAUAUAUAUAUAGUCAACUAUAAUAUAUAUAGUGUAUGUAAAUCAUCUUUUGUUCUGAUUGGCUAUUGGUUAUGUUCUGAGCCUGAGCUAAAAGCCUGAAAAAAUAACCACUUCAAUUUCUGAAUCAGUUUUUCUGAUAACAUUGCUGUUUUAUUCUAUAAACUACAUACAACAUUUCUUCCAAAUUCCAAAUAAAAAUAUUGUUAUUUAGAGCA
ensembl:lncRNA